GAUGAACGCUGGCGGCGUGCCUAAUACAUGCCAGUCGAGCGAACAGACGAGGAGCUUGCUCCUCUGACGUUAGCGGCGGACGGGUGAGUAACACGUGGAUAACCUACCUAUAAGACUGGGAUAACUUCGGGAAACCGGAGCUAAUACCGGAUAAUAUAUUGAACCGUAUGGUUCAAUAGUGAAAGACGGUUUUGCUGUCACUUAUAGAUGGAUCCGCGCCGCAUUAGCUAGUUGGUAAGGUAACGGCUUACCAAGGCAACGAUGCGUAGCCGACCUGAGAGGGUGAUCGGCCACACUGGAACUGAGACACGGUCCAGACUCCUACGGGAGGCAGCAGUAGGGAAUCUUCCGCAAUGGGAGAAAGCCUGACGGAGCAACGCCGCGUGAGUGAUGAAGGUCUUCGGAUCGUAAAACUCUGUUAUUAGGGAAGAACAAAUGUGUAAGUAACUAUGCACGUCUUGACGGUACCUAAUCAGAAAGCCACGGCUAACUACGUG
rnacentral:rRNA from 1 species